UCAUGAGUGUAAUAGAUAAUGUUUUAGACACAAAUAUAUGUAUGGUCCAAAUUAUUGCAAAAAAAAAAAAAAAAAAAAAAAAAAAAAAAAAAUCCAUUAUCUUUAUAGAUUGAAAAAUAUCUUUUAUUUAUUUCUUAAAAAUAGAUGAAUUACUACAAUUACUUCAAUUAAUAUUAGAAAAAAAAUUGCUAUAAGAAAUUGAUACAUUUAUUUGGACAAAACAAACAAAUUAAUAAAAACAUAUUUAGAUGGCAUAGAACAAAUUUAUUUAGCAAGGCCUAUCACAAAAGCUAUUAUUAUUAAAGCGCAUGAAGGACUUGAUGGAGGUUAUUUUUUGGAAACAAUAAAUUUAUAAAAAAUUCUUAAUGCUUCAUUUUAGUGGCUAAUGUUAAGACAAGAUAUAUAUGAUUAUUAUAAAUAAUGUGAUGUUUUCCAAUAAAAAACACUAAAUCAAAUAAAUAAAAAAUUCUUUAUAU
rnacentral:lncRNA from 1 species